rnacentral:rRNA from 1 species
UACAGAGGGGGCAAGCGUUGUUCGGAAUUACUGGGCGUAAAGGGCGCGUAGGCGGCCUGUUAAGUCGAACGUGAAAUCCCCGGGCUCAACCCGGGAACUGCGUCCGAUACUGGCAGGCUUGAAUCCGGGAGAGGGAUGCGGAAUUCCAGGUGUAGCGGUGAAAUGCGUAGAUAUCUGGAGGAACACCCGUGGUGCAGACGGCUUGCUGGACCGUGACUGACGCUGAGGCACGAAAGCGUGGGUAGCAAACAGG